rnacentral:lncRNA from 1 species
CUUGAAAGCUAGGGGUUUAUAAACAAAACUCUUACAAAAGACCAAGUCCUUUAUGAAGAAUAUUCCUUUAAUGUCAAUGAGGUAAUAAUAGAACAAUCAAGUCUAGGAAAGUGAUGGUUAACCUUUUAGAGACUGAGUGUCAUGCCUCAUCUCCAGAGACUGUGUGCUGUGCCCUACCCCCCCCGGGGUGCCAGAUCCUUAUAACAAUAUCUCCCUGGCAGAACAAAUACCCAGAGGUUAAAGAAGCUUUGAGUUCACCCUUAUACAUCAAAGAAAGAGAAGAAUAAUAUGAAAUAAGACUGUAAAAGCAGAGAUCCACUUAAAGGCAAAUGAAGAAAAAUGAAGGUCAGGAUUUAUAAGACCCAAGAUCCCUAGCUGAUGGCAUAAUGGAAGAGAAUUGUGAAAGAUGGAAUAUGGAUUUUAUAGCCAUCAAUCCAAGAGUUUCUCACUGUUGGAGAAAAAAAUAGUUGAUACAUUGCAAAAUACCUUUGGGAUUAAGAAUGGCAACAUUUAACACAUCUACUACUAAUAAAGAUUUAUUCAUUUUCUGCCUUCUAUAAUA